rnacentral:rRNA from 1 species
AACGUAGGACGCAAGCGUUAUCCGGAGUUACUGGGCGUAAAGCGCGGGCAGGCGGCUCGAUGCGUCUGAUGUGAAAUCUCCUCGCUCAACGGGGAGAGGCCAUUGGAAACGGUCGGGCUGGAGGGCAGUAGAGGCAGGCGGAAUUCCGGGUGGAGUGGUGAAAUGCGCAGAUAUCAGGAGGAACACCAAUGGCGAAGGCAGCUCGCUGGGACGUGACUGACGCUGAGACGCGAAAGCGUGGGGAGCAAACAGG